UACGAAGGGGGCUAGCGUUGUUCGGAAUUAUUGGGCGUAAAGGGCGCGUAGGCGGCUUUGCAAGUGACGGGUGAAAUCCCUCGGCUUAACCGAGGAACUGCCUGUCAAACUGCAUGGCUUGAGACCGGGAGAGGUGAGUGGAAUUCCCAGUGUAGCGGUGAAAUGCGUAGAGAUGUGGAGGAACACCAGUGGCGAAGGCGGCUUUUUGGUCUGUAACUGACGCUGAGGCGCGAAAGCGUGGGGAGCAAACAGG
rnacentral:rRNA from 1 species